rnacentral:rRNA from 1 species
CAGUAGCCGCGGUAAAACGUAGGUGGCGAGCGUUGUCCGGAAUCAUUGGGCGUAAAGGGAGCGCAGGCGGGCAUGUAAGUCUUUCUUAAAAGUUCGGGGCUCAACCCCGUGAUGGGAAAGAAACUACAUGUCUUGAGUACAGGAGAGGAAAGCGGAAUUCCCAGUGUAGCGGUGAAAUGCGUAGAUAUUGGGAGGAACACCAGUGGCGAAGGCGGCUUUCUGGACUGCAACUGACGCUGAGGCUCGAAAGCCAGGGGAGCGAACGGGAUUAGAUACCCCCGUAGUCCCUGUCUCUUAUACA